GGGGGGUGCGAGCGUUAAUCGGAAUAACUGGGCGUAAAGGGCACGCAGGCGGUGACUUAAGUGAGAUGUGAAAGCCCCGGGCUUAACCUGGGAAUUGCAUUUCAUACUGGGUCGCUAGAGUACUUUAGGGAGGGGUAGAAUUCCACGUGUAGCGGUGAAAUGCGUAGAGAUGUGGAGGAAUACCGAAGGCGAAGGCAGCCCCUUGGGAAUGUACUGACGCUCAUGUGCGAAAGCGUGGGGAGCAAACAGGAUUAGAUACCCUGGUAGUCCACGCUGUAAACGAUGUCGAUUUGGGGAUUGGGCUUUAAGCUUGGUGCCCGUAGCUAACGUGAUAAAUCGACCGCCUGGGGAGUACGGCCGCAAGGUUAAAACUCAAAG
rnacentral:rRNA from 1 species